rnacentral:rRNA from 1 species
UACGAAGGGGGCUAGCGUUGCUCGGAAUCACUGGGCGUAAAGCGCACGUAGGCGGCCAAGUCAGUCAGGUGUGAAAUACCUCGGCUCAACCGAGGAACUGCGCCUGAUACUGCUUGGCUUGAGGUCCGGAGGGGAGAGUGGAAUUCCCGGCGGAGCGGUGAAAUGCGUAGAGAUCGGGAAGAACGCCGGCGGCGAAAGCGACUCUCUGGUCGGAAUCUGACGCUGAGGUGCGAAAGCUAGGGGAGCAAACGGG